rnacentral:rRNA from 1 species
GGAAUCUUCGGCAAUGGGGGCAACCCCUGACCGAGCAACGCCGCGUGAGUGAAGAAGGUUUUCGGAUCGUAAAGCUCUGUUGUAAGAGAAGAACGUGUGUGAGAGUGGAAAGUUCACACAGUGACGGUAACUUACCAGAAAGGGACGGCUAACUACGUGCCAG